GACGAACGCUGGCGGCGUGCUUAACACAUGCAAGUCGAGGGCACUUUGGGGGCAACUCUGGAGUGACCGGCGAACGGGUGCGUAACACGUGAGCGACCUUGCCUCGUGGUGGGGGAUAGCCGGCCCAACGGCCGGGUAAUACCGCAUAGGGUGGGUCUUUUCGUCAUGGAGAGACUAGCAAAGCCCUGGAGCAAUCCAGUGGCGCCACAGGGGGGGCGGU
rnacentral:rRNA from 1 species